AAGGGAAUGGCAAGCCAAGGGACUCUGCAGCUGGGAGUGAGGACUGUGGCAUGCAGUUGGGUGCAUCAUCACCUCCUCGAGUGCACAAGAGCUGGUUCCUGAGACAGGCUUGUUACCAGCACAGGAACAAGUCACUGGCCCCUCUCUGAUGCUGCCUGUGCUAUCGGCCGUUAAGAAUAAAGUGAUACCGCCUGGAAAGAAAAGUAGCCAUGAAUGGGGUAAUCAUUAAACAGCUGCAUGCCAGCCUGUUUGGGUCUUUCCUGGGAAGCAAGGACAUUGCACUGGAGUAUAUGGAAGUUCCUAGAAGAAACAACAGACCUCAUAAGGUAAAGACAUCAGGCAGAGCUCUGCUGGCAAUCUGGAAUUUGCAUCAGCAAAUAGCUCUGGGUGUUUGUGCUUGGAGAGGAGCUGUAGCUUGCCUCCCUUGGCAAAAAGGGAAGGGAAAACCAGGCAGCCUCUCCACGCUGACAGAAGUGCUGCUGAGCUCAGGAGCCCUCCCUCUCCUUUGCUAGCUAAAUGUUGAGGGACAGGAGGAAAUCAGUGGGGAAAAGAGUAUUGUAUUUGUGGCUGCUCUGUAGUCAAGGCCUUUAAGUGAUAUAAAUAGGACUUAAAAAAAAAAUAAUUUACUGAGUUCUUUAUGACUUUUAGGAGAUACAAAUAACGAAGAACCUUCUUUGCUUCCCUUGUUUAAAUAUUCGUUGGUUCAGUGAAGGUGGAAAAAAGUCAGAAAGCUGAGUUGGGUCAACAUUACAAGCCUUUGGAAAAAAAAAAAAUAGUAAUAGACUAGCACCUCUCCUCCACCCAGGGUCACAAAACAGAUGAAAUCUAGCGGCUUCGGUAGUUUUUUGCAUGCGUUAUUAUAUAUCUUGAGAGUCUGAUGAAAUGGAAAGACAAUAAAAUUGGAAUCCUAUUACUAUGUAUGUUUCGUGAGAUUAGUAAUUUCACAGUAUAUUAAUUUUUUCCUAGAUUAAAUGUGUAACAGCACUUGAUUUAACAGCGAAGCACGGGUAAGACAGUAUUCCAACAUUGCUGUGAACAUCUGUUCCGAGUUACCACAAUUCCAGCUGAAAAACAAAUAUUUCCACUAUAAAUCAACCAAAACAUCAUCCUGAGUGUUGUAACAGAUGCAAAAUGAUUCUGACUCCCUCUGCCCUGUGGUUUGGCUCUUUCCUUAAAAUUGCUGUGAAUAUAUUUAUUUACACGCUUCAAGAAAUACACAUCUGAAAUGGCUCUUUAAGCUUAUGUAGAAUAUGUCCAAUGUUACUCCAAAGCUAAUAGUCAGUUGAUAGACUAUCUUAGUAACUCCAGAUACUACUAUUAGCAUAAACUCUAGUUACAGCUUUCCAGAUAAACCUGGUCCACAGCAACACUUAAAGUCCUGCCCAAGUGUUCUGAACACUUCAACCCAAUUCUACUAGAAAUGAUGACCUGGAGUUGGUGCAAACGUGGGUACUUGUUUUGAUUUUCGCUUUCGUUCUGUUCUGGUGUGCUUUGGUGGGUUUUUUACCCGCAUUGUUACUGCUGCUAUUCAUCUUUAGUUUCAUGAGCUAAAUGAAUCAGAGGAGAUAUUGAUUUACCUGGGAUAAAGAACUGAGAUUUGUUUACUAAACAUGAAAUUUGGAAAAAGGCCUUGCAAGAGACUUCCUGGUUAGUGGUUUCAGUAUGUGAAUAAAAUGGCUUGUUUAGGCAGAAGCUGCGAUUCCGUACUUUGUUUAAUUGCAUUAAGCUGCAUCUGACCAACUCUGAUUAAAGAUGCUUUCCUUUUUUGAAAUAUUCAUGCGGAACAGAUAAGCCAGAUCAGGAGAGAACUGAACUACGGUAUCAUAAAUAACAACACAGUCUUGCAGGGGGGAAGGAGAAGUCCUUUGGGUUUACCCCUCUUUGCACAAAAUACACUUUGGGGGAAGAAACAGCCCUGUGUUUUGAGGAUGACGUUCUGUAGUUGUUAAUCAUUUUCUGUCUUAAAUGCUUGGAGGAAAACCAGUGUGUGUAGACUAAAUAUAACCGUGCCUUUUGUGAUAGUUGGGAAAUGGGAGCUGCAGGCUAGUUAUCCAGCCCAUAAACAGGAACACAUGGUCCAUCCAAAGAUGUGAUGAUGGCAAACGGAGCACUUAGGGGAAGUAUCAGGGCCCAGCUCACACUGUCACUGUGACAGCAGCAUGUGUCAGACGGGGGUUUUCAGGGGUCUGUGUCAAAGUGAAUGGAAAUCAUAAGAGGGGUCCAGCCAUAAGCACCUGCAUCCCCUUCAGAGGUGUCAAAAUUAUUAUAAAAGUCUAGGACCACAUUGUCUAAAGGCUAUUUGUUAAUUAAGGCAUAACAGUUAAAAAAAAAAAAAGUUGCAUAUAUUUAAAACAGCAUAAGAAUGUGUAUUUUGUUCAACAUUUCUAUUUGUAAAGAGAUUGAAACACAUUCUAUAUGCAGUAGGCUGCAUGCCUUUUAUGGCAUUAUACAUUUGCUUUAUAUAUUGUUAAUUAGACCUAAUUUGGCCCUUGAAAAGAAAAAUCUCAUUAAAAUUCUGAUCAGUGAUGUUGGCAAGCAGCCAUCCAAAAAGCCUCUAUUUCUUCCUUUGAUAAGUUUGAAACUGCUAUAACAAACAGUAAAAACAAGAUCACAGCCUUCUUUCUCAUGCCAAUCAACAUAAUGUAUUCUCCAGGUCAAAGCCAUUUAAGGGAAAAUACAGGAGGAGGACAUCUUUAUUUCCUUGUAUACAUGCUGUCAGAUGGCUACAGAAAACUGUAAGUAUGUUUGUGCCCUUUGGCAGCUUAAAAAAACAACACCAAAAAACAAAAGACUGCCUAUGAAAAUGCUAGUUGUGAGCCUUCAAAAACAACUUACUCGGCAAGGAAAUUAAUUAAAAGAUUUUUUUAAAAAAAAUGAUUUAAAAAUGAAUGGGAAUAAAAAUAAUACAAAGCUGGUAUAAUAUUAAACUAGUUAUGUCUGAUAUUUUCAGUACAACUUUCUGCCUGAUGCUUUUGAUAUAGUUUAAAUUCUAAACGCCUGGCCACGAAAACAUACAGACAAGAAUAUCUUCAGUCCAAAUACAGUCAGUUAUGCACCCACAUCACUGCAGAUCAGAGCAGAUAACUUUAAAAGAAAACUUGGCAUUAAAAAAUAAAGUCAAAGACAGAAUUAAGCAACAAACAAUAGCAAUGCUUCUGUGCUUCCUUGUGUCCGCACGUUUAUCGAAGGGUUAUUAUAAUACAGCUGCCAGCUAUCGUUGUAUUUGUCCCAACUAAUUGAAACCUUUCACUUCAAUGCAUAAAAACAACUUUACGAGGCUGAACGCUGUUUGAAAUGGCAAAUAUGAUGCAUCUCUUCUGUUGUACGUCUUUUCUGUACACAUCUGUCCUCGCAGGAGAUGUUAGCAAUUAAUCUAAUCCUUCAGAAGAUAAAACAGGCAGCAGGACUUUUGCAGAGCUGCUGAGCCCAGAGGAAAGGAGAGGUAGGAGGACUCACAGUUUGAACGCUCCGAAUCCGUUCCUUUCCCUCAGAGCACAAUCCCCAGUGUGCAGCUGCUCCAUCCUGCGUCACAGCACGCGGCAGCCCUGGACACUGAGGGAAACCUGGGAGCAGGGUGGAUGUCACAGAACUGAUCACAGAAGUACAGGACAGAAGGAGAUCCCAAGUUCAGGGCAACCUUGCAAGCCUGAAGCUUGGGGGGUACUAGUCAAUUCAGUGAGUUUCACAGACCUCCUUGAAGAACAUGGGUUUUCAGCACCAAGUUCUACAGAUCCAGAUCUGAUAAGCCUAUGCAUGCAGAAUGCAUCAGGCUACAUUGUGCCUGACCUUCCCCAGCACCCUGCCUCCGGCAAGCGCUCUGAAAACAGCCAUUUGAAGUCAGAGAAAUCUGGGUCAUUGACUUCAAUAGAAACUCUGAAUAAGGAGGAGAUGCUCAGCUCCUGCACCUUUCACUCCUCCCUCCUGUUACAGCUCUGCCUGGGGAUGGGCUGUUUUAUUCUGUGCUCGUGGGUGCUCUUCUAUCUCCAGUAAAACCAAUGCCAACUUCCAAAAUCAAACAGCCUGAGCAUGUAAGAACAGCUAUUUCUAACUGUCUUUCUGCAGCAUGCAAGCCAAAAGUGAGACAGGAAGAGGAACGGAGCAUAGAGGAAUAAAUGGAAGGAUCAAGUUGUUUCUCCCAUUGGCACCAGCUGGGAGUUGUCCUUAUUCAGGGGAAGGUCUGCCGGCAAAACAGGCCAGCUACUCGCUUAUCGCUUGUCUCAAUCCAGUUCUGUCAUCUGGCUGCUUACACCUACUGGGUCUAAACAAUUCGCCAAGGCACCGAGGGCAUUAGGUGCUUGAAACAGGCUUGAGAGGCUGGUUAAUGCUUUACAAGGCUAAGGUUGCUUUAAAAAGCAUAGCAGAGUGUUUGUUCCAAAACUGUAGUCAUCACUGAGAGUAACACUUGCUGAGUUCAAAUCAGGUCAGCUGCCCAGGCAAGUACACGCAUUUGAUCUACUGUCAUGGUAAAGGCUGACUGCAAACCUUGGCAGAGAAAAUUAUUAAUCUUUCAACUCAUAGCAUAUAAGCAAUGACUAGUAAUACCUAUUUUUCUGAGAACUGGAAUGCCUUUUGGAACCGCUCCAGAUUACUUAAGAGAAGUUCCUCUGCCAUCAGCCAAAAGCAGUUCCAAACCUGUCUCUCCCACAUUCAAUUAAACCUAACAAAAAUAAUAAUAAUAAAAUAAAAAAAUAAAGCGAGGCGGGGGCAGAUCAUGGUUCAUUCAACAAGCAUUUUUCCUCUUGCAAGGAGCCACAGCAACUCGCUCAGCUGCACGCCACAUGAGCAAUAAACAUCAAUUUUUAAAUAAUUUAGCACUGUUGGUAGCAGCUUUCACUUGGAAAGCCAAGCAAGGGCUACUUCCAGAACCUCUGCGACGAUGAAGGAAGUGGAGGGCAGACUUUGCUCCUUGGUGCUUCUCAACCUUCUCUUCAAAAGCUGCUGCUUUUUAGCUGCACGUAGGGUGUGGGUAUCUGAACAUCCUCGUGUGGCUUUUUAUGUACUUCUGAGUUCUGUGUUAAAUAUAGCUGGAGAUGUGCCACCAUCUGAGGCCAAUCUGGGAUCAUUUCACUGGUUUAGGAUGAAUUAGAACUAAAACAAAGGCUGAAUCUUGAGCCUCUUCAAAUUCUCAGAUUCUCUCUGGUUUUCUGUGCAUCUCAGUCCUUUCAUCCAUCACUUUGGCUCCUAAAGGCCUGAGAUGGGGCUCACUACCAAUAAACCAGUAGCUAUUUAAGGUACUGGGAAGCAUUUGCUUUUCCAGUCUGUCCUGUGCCUGACCCAAAAGCUUGUUCUCCUGUAUUAUUUAUCCUCUCCGCCUUGUAGCUUGUUAUCCAUCCCCCUGCUUUUGUAGUUCUUUUCUCCGCACAGGACAUAUUUAAAAGAAAACAACCUAACAGAGGAAUUUGGUGACAUCAGCAGCCCAGCUGCGACUGUAUGCAUACCUGAUCAGGGAAGUUUUGCUCAGGUUUGAGAGGCUUCUCCGACUGCACGUACAGUACUGGCUCCUGUUUAACCCUGGGACAGACAGGAUGAGGCGGGCAGAGGAAAGGGCUGGAUUCUUCAGACCAGUCUAGAUUUAAAUGCAUGUGGAGCUCUAGGUUACAAGGUGACUGCAACAGACCUGUCCUCCAGCACAGGAGCAGGCAUCCUUCCGCCUGGCAGUGUCAGCAUUUCCGCUAAGCCGUGAUUAUUGCCCAGCCUUCCUAGCCCAGUUUUAUCUGUGUUUAUGGAGAAAAUACAAGUAGGUCCCCUGGAAGAUACUGGUUAGAUGGAUCCCCAAAGACAAUGUCACCUAAGCUUUCUGUAUAGGUAAGAAAAACUGCAGUCUCGUUUCCAGAAGGUGGUUCCGAA